rnacentral:rRNA from 1 species
AUUGAACGCUGGCGGCAGGCCUAACACAUGCAAGUCGAGCGGCAGCGGGAAAGUAGCUUGCUACUUUUGCCGGCGAGCGGCGGACGGGUGAGUAAUGCCUGGGAAAUUGCCCAGUCGAGGGGGGUAACAGUUGGAAACGACUGCUAAUACCGCAUACGCCCUACGGGGGAAAGCAGGGGACCUUCGGGCCUUGCGCGAUUGGAUAUGCCCAGGUGGGAUUAGCUAGUUGGGGAGGUAAUGGCUCACCAAGGCGACGCUCCCUAGCUGGUCUGAGAGGAUGAUCAGCCACACUGGAACUGAGACACGGUCCAGACUCCUACGGGAGGCAGCAGUGGGGAAUAUUGCACAAUGGGGGAAACCCUGAUGCAGCCAUGCCGCGUGUGUGAAGAAGGCCUUCGGGUUGUAAAGCACUUUCAGCGAGGAGGAAAGGUUGAUGCCUAAUACGUAUCAACUGUGACGUUACUCGCAGAAGAAGCACCGGCUAACUCCGUGCCAGCCGCCGCAGUAA